UUACGGCCAUAUCACGUCGAAACAGUGGUUCUUGUACGAUCACCGAAGUUAAGCAACGUUGAGCCUUGUUAGUAACUAUGUGAAUGCCCGUUUGGGAAUACCAGGUGCUGUU